rnacentral:tRNA from 1 species
CAAAGAGUAGUUUAAAAAAAAAUUAUAAUUUUGGAGAUUAUUAAUAAAGAUAAAUUCUUUUUCUUUGA